GAUGAACGCUGGCGGCGUGCCUAAUACAUGCCAGUCGAGCGAACAGAUGAGGAGCUUGCUCCUCUGACGUUAGCGGCGGACGGGUGAGUAACACGUGGAUAACCUACCUAUAAGACUGGGAUAACUUCGGGAAACCGGAGCUAAUACCGGAUAAUAUAUUGAACCGCAUGGUUCAAUAGUGAAAGACGGUUUUGCUGUCACUUAUAGAUGGAUCCGCGCCGCAUUAGCUAGUUGGUAAGGUAACGGCUUACCAAGGCAACGAUGCGUAGCCGACCUGAGGGGGUGAUCGGCCACACUGGAACUGAGACACGGUCCAGACUCCUACGGGAGGCAGCAGUAGGGAAUCUUCCGCAAUGGGCGAAAGCCUGACGGAGCAACGCCGCGUGAGUGAUGAAGGUCUUCGGAUCGUAAAACUCUGUUAUUAGGGAAGAACAAAUGUGUAAGUAACUAUGCACGUCUUGACGGUACCUAAUCAGAAAGCCACGGCUAACUACGUG
rnacentral:rRNA from 1 species